rfam:Myotis davidii contig145699, whole genome shotgun sequence.
GGCAGUUCUUGGGUGACGCUCCCCAGAAUCGGGCUCCCUCCUCUCUGGUUCUGGGUACAUCACCGAAGAACUGCA